UACCCCAUUCAAUUAAACUAAUUGUUCUUAUCGUACAACUUUGUAGUGUUAGCAGCUCAUGACUCAACUUCAAACAAAAUUGAAACCCUAAACCCUCUUCACUGUUACGGAGCUGCUCCACCCAUCGCGACACCAAAUCGAUCAAAGGAAAACCAUUUUUUACUCUCCAAUUCAAGAGAUUCCUUUUCAGUCGGGAAGGAGAUAGUGACAUUGAAGGCGGCGGUGGCGGUGGAGCUGACACCUUUCGUUCUCCGAUUGGCCGUAAAUAUCGUUCCGUGUUGGCUAACGAUCGUGCUCUACUUGAGAUGUCUUCCAUAGAUCCACUAUCUUAUUCUUCCUCAAUCUACACGAUUCUAGCGUUCUUUUCACAACCCUAAUUUCACCAUGCAAUUUCAAUCUUAUGAUAUUGUUUAUUGUUUGUUCUGUAACAGCUAUGGUCCAGCAGGCUAUGCAAUAUAUUGAUGAGACACCUGAUAUUGAAACUCAUAUUGAACUUAUCAAAACAUUGAACAGUGUAUCUGCAGGGAAGAUCUAUGUUGAGAUUGAGAGAGUUCGGUUGGUCAAGAAACUUGCCAAGAUUAAGGAAGAACAAAGUUAUGAUGAUGCAGCUCAACUGAAAAUGCUCAGGAGCUUAACCUUACUCAAACCAUAAGUAGUGCUUUCCUUCCACGGUUCAGGUAUCCCAAAAUUCAACCUUAUAGAAUACAGGGCACAACUAUAUGAUUAUCUCAAGAGUAGGAUGAACACCAUAGCACCCAAUUUGACUGCUAUGGUUGGGGAGCUUGUCGGCGCUUGUCUCAUUGCCCAUGGUGGUAGCUUAAUAAAUCUUGCAAAGCAGCCUGGUUGAUGUGAAUGGUGGAACAAACAUGACCGGCGAAUUGCUACUCUCGAGUUUGACCGUGACACGAAGUCAAUGGGUGUUAUUGUUGACACUGGUACGGGGAAAAAUUUGAUGCUGGUUAAGGUUGGAGACGAGUCCUAUGAGUCAUUCAUGGCCGAGAGGGGUCGUAUUUUAUCUUCUCUUGCUAAGCGUGCAAAGUGCUACCUUACCUACCGCUGGUGAUGAUGGGUAGAGCACCAUGCUGUGAUGAAAGCGGUUUGAUGAAAGGACCUUGGACACCACACAGGGUACACCCCUCCCUGCAAUACUGACUGUUACUGCUAGGGGAGCAAAUAUUAAUAUAAAUAAUUUUUUUUAUUUUAAAAAUAUAUUACCUGCGGAUUUAUCCGCGGAUAUUUCCUGCGGAUUUAGCUGCGGAAUUACCUGCGGAAUUUCCUGCCGAAAAUAUUACCCACGAAGGUUUUAGCUGGGGACAUGAAACCGCAGAAAAAUCCGCAGGUAACUUGUUUCCUGCGGAAAUUUAGCUAAAAUCCGCAGGUAAUUCCGCAGGAAAAUUGAGUAUUUCUA